rnacentral:rRNA from 1 species
CCUACGGGAGGCAGCAGUGAGGAAUAUUGGUCAAUGGACGAGAGUCUGAACCAGCCAAGUAGCGUGAAGGAUGACUGCCCUAUGGGUUGUAAACUUCUUUUAUAUGGGAAUAAAAUGUUCCACGUGUGGGAUUUUGUAUGUACCAUGUGAAUAAGGAGCGGCUAACUCCGUGCCAGCAGCCGCGGUAAUACGGAGGAUCCGAGCGUUAUCCGGAUUUAUUGGGUUUAAAGGGAGCGUAGGUGGAUUGUUAAGUCAGUUGUGAAAGUUUGCGGCUCAACCGUAAAAUUGCAGUUGAAACUGGCAGUCUUGAGUACAGUAGAGGUGGGCGGAAUUCGUGGUGUAGCGGUGAAAUGCUUAGAUAUCACGAAGAACUCUGAUUGCGAAGGCAGUUCACUGGACUGCAACUGACACUGAGGCUCGAAAGUGUGGGUAUCAAACAGGAUUAGAUACCCUGGUAGUC